GACGAGGGGUCCAAGCGUUGUUCGGAAUCAUUGGGCGUAAGGCGGGUGUAGGCGGCUCUAUAAGUCAGGAGUGAAAGCCCCGAGCUUAACUCGGGAAGUGCUUUUGAUACUGCAGAGCUUGAAUGUGGGAGAGGGUAGUGGAAUUCCAGGUGUAGUGGUGAAAUACGUAGAUAUCUGGAGGAACACCGGUGGCGAAGGCGGCUACCUGGCCCAACAUUGACGCUGAGACCCGAAGCU
rnacentral:rRNA from 1 species